CUGCUGGGUCUGGUUGACUGCAGGAAAACACCGGGGCAGAGAGGAGAAGAAGAAGAGAAGGAAGAUGGAGAUGUGAUUUCAUUAAGAAGCAGCUGUAGGAAUCAUAGUGUAUGUUCUGAUUCUCAUCCUCUGGCUUUAUGUGGUUCAGGUGAGUGAGAGGAAUUAACCCCUUUUCAUAUUCUGUUUUAUAAUCAUUGAUCUCAAUAUUAUACUUGAUUUUAAUUGAUUAAUUAAUUCAUCCAAUCAUCUGUUCAUUUAUUUAUUCUUUCCAUCAUUCGCAAAAACAGGGAGAAGGCCUCCAAAUCCACCUCUGACAGAAGAGACACAGCAGAGAAUGGACUUGUGAGUCUGUUGGAAUCAGCUGACUGACAACGGUAUGUGUGAAUCACCCUUAGCUGCUUGGCAAAGUGGAUUUUUCUGGUUUUCAGGGAUAAAGCAUUUUCAACCUAACUACCGUUUCUUUUGAAAAACGGAAGUGUGCUGACAAACGGAAGUGUGCUGACAAACGGAAGUGUGCUGACAAACGGGAGUGUGCUGACAAACGGAAGUGUGCUGACAAACGGGAGUGUGCUGACAAACGGGAGUGUGCUGACAAACGGAAGUGUGCUGACAAACGGAAGUGUGCUGACAAACGGGAGUGUGCUGACAAACGGGAGUGUGCUGACAAACGGGAGUGUGCUGACAAACGGGAGUGUGCUGACAAACGGGAGUGUGCUGACAAACGGGAGUGUGCUGACAAACGGGAGUGUGCUGACAAACGGGAGUGUGCUGACAAACGGAAGUGUGCUGACAAACGGAAGUGUGCUGACAAACGGAAGUGUGCUGACAAACGGAGGUGUGCUGACAAACGGAAGUGUGCACUCUGCUCAGGCAUCUUUCUAUGCCAAUGACUGUGGCGUUACUGUAUUUUUCAACCGUAAUGUUAUUCGUCUUCUUUCCCCAUCAGCGAGACGCUAGUCCAAUUUAUGUCAACGGCUCAGGCAUGGCCAUGACCCCUUCUGCAGCACAGACAGCAGACACAGAUGAUCAGGAUGAUGUUCACAACAGUAUUCACCACAGAAACCAGGAAGUGCCUCUAUAUUCCACCGUCCAACUGCCUCAAACCCAGAAAUAGGUUGGGUUCUUCUAUGUGUGUAUUGGCAGUUUUUAAAAUAAAUUAAAAAGGUGCAAACUGCCGUCAUCUGUGCUGGAGUCUGUAUCGUCUGAACAGGUGCAAAGUCAAGGUUGGUGAUUUCCUGCCACCUGCAGUCAUGGAAUGUUUGCUCAGGAGUAUAAUUAAUUAGCAGACCCUUCAUGCUGACCUGGAUAUACUUUUUUUAUCCUUCCUGAACUCAUAUCAAGUCCCACCUAGUCGACUACUUCAAAAUGGUGAAAACCCUCAAUGCUGCUAUCCAUGCUAAAAUAGGCUUUGGACCAAGUGCUCCCUCUACCUACCUCUAUGGUUUGAGUCAGCUGUUGACUGCUGUCAGCUGUUGACGGCUGUUGUGUUGAGAUGCCAGUAGAGAGCACUGUGGUCCAAUUAUAUUGUAGGAUCUUAAUAGGGAUAUUUUACAACUCUCCUUCUUGUAGAAUAGCUUGACUGACUUAAACCCUUGGCUUCUAGAAGGAACAUAGGCCUCUUGUAUAAUAAGUGCUCCAUAAGAAGUUAAUAGAUUUGUUGAAAAGCCCUUUACUGACAUGUUGGUUGUCAGGAGGAGACAUGACAGGAAGACAGCUCUUCAUCACCAUUUUAGCCUCUACAUCUGGACGGUGUCAACCACAGACCUCAGACUUUGUUUCACACAUCCAAUAAGGUAUUCUAUCAAAACUCUCGCUCUCUCUUCACUCUGUAAGUACACUUGAUAAUAACUUAUACCCUACCGUUCUACUUUUUAUCGGUGAUUUGUUCUGCAGAAUGAAAGCUUGCAUGUAAAUCCAAAUGUAAAAUGGACAUCUGUAGUGUGGUGUAAUUUAUUUUGUUAUGUUCAGUUGAAUUAUGUUGAGUUGAAUUACGUAGAAGAGACCAGGAUAUAUUGUGCGCCUGAGUUCCAAAACAACAAUGCUAUAGUCAUGAUAAUGAGAAUAAAAUAAGUUUGAAACAAUUGGAGAAACAUGUCUUACAGGAGCUACACAUUUGCUACAAUAAGUGACCACCCGCCCCUCCCGUGCUUAGUUGCAGUAUGACGUGUAAUCUACAUAAUAUUAACCAUCUACAGUCGUGGCCAAACGUUUUGAGAACGACACAAAUAUGAAUUUCCAUAAAGUUUGCUGCUUCAGUGUCUUUAGAUAUUUUUGUCAGAUGUUUAAUAUGGAAAACUGAAGUAAAACUAAAACUACAAGCAUUUCAUAAGUGUCAAAGGCUUAUGUUGACAAUUACAUGAGGUUGAUGCAGAGAGUCAAUAUUUGCAGUGUUGACCCUUCUUUUUCAAGACCUCUGCAAUCCACCCUGGCAUGCUGUCAAAUAACUUCUGGGCCACAUCCUGACUGAUGACAGCCCAUUCUUGCAUAAUCAAUGCUUUGAGUUUGUCAGAAUCUGUGGGUAUUUGUUUGUCCACCCGCCUCUUGAGGAUUGACCACAAGUUCUCAAUGGGAUUAUGGUCUGGGGAGUUUCCUGGCCAUGGAACCAAAAUAUCGACGUUUUGUUCCCCGAGCCACUUAGUUAUCACUUUUGCCUUAUGACAACGUUGUGGCGAAAUCUGCACGGAGCCUUCACCGUGCGCUGCCACUUUAAGUGCAUGAGCAGUAAGGAAGGAGGAAAUAAAGAGAGCUCGUUUAGCUCUUUGGGGAGGAGCUCUUGGGUGGCGCGACAGUUUGAUUGUGUGUGCUGUGCUGCGCUGCAGAAGUUUUGUUUGUUUUCAGCGUUUGUAGUUUAUAAUGUAGUUAACUCAAUCAUCGGUGUGAUCGCUUUAGAUCGUGGUUGUUUUUGUUUGGGACCGCGCCUGUUAUGGAUCGCAUGGAUUCGUAGCAACAUUGUUGCGAAGCUUUAACAUACAAACCAACAAACCAUCGGACAGUCAGACAGUCAGAUUUCUCUUUUUCUCUCUCUUUCUCUUCCCUCUCGUUCCAGUGCUUUACCCUGCAACAGACUCUCUAUUUUUCAAAUGCACUUCCCCUUGAAGUUCAUUAGAGCUGGACUAUUAUUGCCCUGCCAGAAGUAUUUUGAUGGACAUUUUAGUUAAAAGGGAGGUUGCUUGCAAGUUGUGUAUUGUUAUGUGAACUGUAUUGAGGUGAGGUGUACUAAUGACAUGUGGCCGAGAAGACUGUGGACAUUUUUAAGGCUUUUUGUUGUGUCGCUGAACACCCCCCACAUUCAUACCCUCUGCACUCAUCCACUAGAAAAUAAUACAGAUUAUUGCAAAUCCUA